rnacentral:rRNA from 1 species
GUCGAACGGUAACAGGAAGCAGCUUGCUGCUUCGCUGACGAGUGGCGGACGGGUGAGUAAUGUCUGGGAAACUGCCUGAUGGAGGGGGAUAACUACUGGAAACGGUAGCUAAUACCGCAUAACGUCGCAAGACCAAAGAGGGGGACCUUCGGGCCUCUUGCCAUCGGAUGUGCCCAGAUGGGAUUAGCUAGUAGGUGGGGUAACGGCUCACCUAGGCGACGAUCCCUAGCUGGUCUGAGAGGAUGACCAGCCACACUGGAACUGAGACACGGUCCAGACUCCUACGGGAGGCAGCAGUGGGGAAUAUUGCACAAUGGGCGCAAGCCUGAUGCAGCCAUGCCGCGUGUAUGAAGAAGGCCUUCGGGUUGUAAAGUACUUUCAGCGGGGAGGAAGGCGAUAAGGUUAAUAACCUUGUCGAUUGACGUUACCCGCAGAAGAAGCACCGGCUAACUCCGUGCCAGCAGCCGCGGUAAUACGGAGGGUGCAAGCGUUAAUCGGAAUUACUGGGCGUAAAGCGCACGCAGGCGGUCUGUCAAGUCGGAUGUGAAAUCCCCGGGCUCAACCUGGGAACUGCAUUCGAAACUGGCAGGCUAGAGUCUUGUAGAGGGGGGUAGAAUUCCAGGUGUAGCGGUGAAAUGCGUAGAGAUCUGGAGGAAUACCGGUGGCGAAGGCGGCCCCCUGGACAAAGACUGACGCUCAGGUGCGAAAGCGUGGGGAGCAAACAGGAUUAGAUACCCCGGUAGUCCACGCCGUAAACGAUGUCGACUUGGAGGUUGUG